AGCUACGUACUAGCUGCUUGUGUUGUCCAGGGAAUCCACUGAGUUUUCUGUUGCUGCUUCUCAGUUAAUCCCUGUGCCAGGAAAGGGAUGGAAUCAAACCCAAGAGAAGAAGCUGAAAAAGGUCAAGUCAUUUCAGCAAAAAUGUGGUCCUGCAGUUUGAGAUAUCUUCAGAUGUCCUAACCUCAGUCAAAGACGUAAAUGAAGAUGAUGCAAAAAAUUGUGGUAUUUUUCAUUUUCCCAUGAAAAUAAGGAGGCCACGUGGAGGAUCCCUCAGCCUUAUUUUAGUAGAAACAAAUAACCAGUCAGCCACAGCAUUUAUCCAUUACCUGGGGCUCCCAGUACACCAAGGAGGAUAACACUAAUCAUGGACCAGAAAGCAGAUCCUUCCUUCUUGGCAAAUUAUGCUUCAGUUUUCUGAGAUUGAACAAGCACAGCUCUUCCAGCCUUUCUUCAUAGGAGAGGUGCUCCAACUUUGACCAUCUUUGUGGCCUCUUCUGGACAUACCCCAGCAGUUCCGUGUCUUGUGCUGGUGGCCCCAGACCUGGAUGCAGUAAUCCAACUGGGGCCUCACAAGGGCAGUGCAGAGGGAAAAAAAAUCACCUCCCUCCCACUGCUGGCCUCCCACUCUUUAGGUGCAGCCCAGGGUACUGUUGUUCAUAGCCUUCAAGCACAUGAAAGGUGCUGCACAGAAAGGAAUAAAUUAUUUACUGUGUCAGGGAAGAGUAGCAAGUAUCCUGAAUAGCAGUAAGGAUAAUUCAGAUUAGAUUCUAGUCAUUUUUCCUAAAUGAUUAAGAUAGUGAAGCCUUGGGAGAAAGUGCCUAUAGAGGCUGUAGAGUAUCAGUCACUGAGUAUUUCUAAAAGCAGCUGAUCAGAUUUUCCUUUAUUUUUGUCUUAUCACAGAGAAAUGUGUUUUGGCUCUAAUAUUCUGCUAUUCUCGGAUAGCUAAUAUAAUAUUUCUGCAGCAAAAUCAGGUCACAGAUAUUGUGAUUAGAAACUAUGAAUGAGUUGUGGCUUAGCCUUUGCUGUUGUAUACUCUUCUGGCAAUACUGUGCAAUAAUAAGUUCAGUUGUGUCUAUCUGCAUCCCAUGUGGAGCUCAUUGUGUUGCUGCUGUGGGACAUCAUCAGAUUAGCUAGUAGAGACUUCUCCUAGGAUGACACAUGAUGAACAUCUGGCCCGAAGUUGCAAAGGAGCUAAGGUGUCGUCUGUGAACUGGGAGAAGAAAAUACUGACUGAUUGAAAAAAAGUGAAGAAGACUGACCCCCUCUGAAACCUUAUACCUGUGAACUUCACAGAUUUUUCAGUUUAAAAUAUGUUCUUGUAAUGCAAAUUUCACAUGUAUCUUAGGUAUCUCCAGAUAUUACAGUUGCUCAACAUUUUGUAAUCUUUAGUGUGAUGUGAUUGUUUAUUCCUUAGGCCUCCAGAAAGGGCAGAGGAUCUUCUUGCCUUUGAGCAGAUACGUGUAUUUGUGUAACAUUUAUGG
ensembl:lncRNA